UGGGGAAUUUUGGACAAUGGGCGAAAGCCUGAUCCAGCAAUGCCGCGUGCAGGAUGAAGGCCUUCGGGUUGUAAACUGCUUUUGUACGGAACGAAAAGCUUCUCCUAAUACGAGAGGCCCAUGACGGUACCGUAAGAAUAAGCACCGGCUAACUACGUGCCAGCAGCCGCGGUAAUACGUAGGGUGCGAGCGUUAAUCGGAAUUACUGGGCGUAAAGCGUGCGCAGGCGGUUAUGUAAGACAGAUGUGAAAUCCCCGGGCUCAACCUGGGAACUGCAUUUGUGACUGCAUGGCUAGAGUACGGUAGAGGGGGAUGGAAUUCCGCGUGUAGCAGUGAAAUGCGUAGAUAUGCGGAGGAACACCGAUGGCGAAGGCAAUCCCUGACCUGUACUGACGCUCAUGCACGAAAGCGUGGGGAGCAAACAGGAUUAGAUACCCUGGUAGUCCACGCCCUAAACGAUGUCAACUGGUUGUUGGGAAUUAGUUUUUCUCAGUAACGAAGCUAACGCGUGAAGUUGACCGCCUGGGGGAGUACGGCCGCAAGGUUGAAACUUAAAUGAAUUGGACGGGGG
rnacentral:rRNA from 1 species